rnacentral:rRNA from 1 species
GACGAACGCUGGCGGCGUGCUUAACACAUGCAAGUCGAGCGGAGCGGCGAACGGGUGAGUAACGCGUUUGUAAUUUCCCCCCUCUCUGGGAUCACAGUUGGAAACUGCUUCUAAUACUGGAUAGUGUGGGAUGACUCGCGUCCUAUCGGCUUGGUGGUGGGGGAGUGGCCUACCAGGGCGACGACGGGUAGCCGGCAUGAGAGGGCGACCGUCCACAUUGGGCUGAGGUACGGCCCAAACGCCUACGGGGGGCAGCAGUGGGGAAUAGUGAGCAAUGGGGGAAACCCUGUGGCAGCAACGCGCGGGCGUGAUGACGGCCUUCGGGUUGUAAACCGCUUUCAGCCAUGACGCGGUAGUGGCAGAAGAAGCACCGGCUAACUACGUGCCAGCAGCCGCGGUAAUUC